rnacentral:rRNA from 1 species
GAUGAACGCUGGCGGCGUGCCUAAUACAUGCAAGUCGAGCGAAGCGGGGACGGGGGAGUAAAACGUGGAUAACCUCCUAUAUGGCUGGGAUAACCUCCGGAAACCGGUACUAAACCGGCAACUUAUAGCUGGAUGCACAUGGCAUUAGCUGGUUGGUAAGGUAACGGCUUACCAAGGCAACGAUGCAUAGCCGACCUGAGAGGGUGAUCGGCCACACUGGAACUGAGACACGGUCCAGACUCCUACGGGAGGCAGCAGUAGGGAAUCUUCCGCAAUGGGCGAAAGCCUGACGGAGCAACGCCGCGUGAGUGAUGAAGGUCUUCGGAUCGUAAAACUCUGUUAUUAGGGAAGCGGUACCUAAACAGAAAGCCACGGCUAACUCCGUGCCAGCAGCCGCGGUAAUUC